rnacentral:rRNA from 1 species
CCUACGGGAGGCAGCAGUGAGGAAUAUUGGUCAAUGGACGAGAGUCUGAACCAGCCAAGUAGCGUGAAGGAUGACUGCCCUAUGGGUUGUAAACUUCUUUUAUAUGGGAAUAAAAUGUUCCACGUGUGGGAUUUUGUAUGUACCAUAUGAAUAAGGAUCGGCUAACUCCGGGCCAGCAGCCGCGGUAAUACGGAGGAUCCGAGCGUUAUCCGGAUUUAUUGGGUUUAAAGGGAGCGUAGGUGGAUUGUUAAGUCAGUUGUGAAAGUUUGCGGCUCAACCGUAAAAUUGCAGUUGAAACUGGCAGUCUUGAGUACAGUAGAGGUGGGCGGAAUUCGUGGUGUAGCGGUGAAAUGCUUAGAUAUCACGAAGAACUCCGAUUGCGAAGGCAGCUCACUGGACUGAAACUGACACUGAGGCUCGAAAGUGUGGGUAGCAAACAGGAUUAGAUACCCGUGUAGUC